CCUACGGGGUGCAGCAGUGAGGAAUAUUGGGCAAUGGAGGAAACUCUGACCCAGCCAUGCCGCGUGAGUGAAGAAGGUUUUCGAAUUGUAAAGCUCUUUCGGAUGUGAAGAUGAUGACGGUAACAUCUUAAGAAGCCCCGGCAAACUUCGUGCCAGCAGCCGCGGUAAUACGAAGGGGGCAAGCGUUGUUCGGAAUCACUGGGCGUAAAGGGUGUGUAGGCGGGAAAGUAAGAUAGUGGUGAAAUGCCUGAGCGCAACUUGGGAACUGCUAUUAUAACUAUUUGUCUAGAGUGAAAGAGAGGAGAUCGGAAGACCCAGUGUAGAGGUGAAAUUCGUAGAUAUUGGGUAGAACACCGGGGGCGAAGGCGAGUAUCUGGCUGUCAACUGACGCUGAGGCACGAAAGCAUGGGGAGCAAACAGGAUUAGAUACCCUAGUAGUC
rnacentral:rRNA from 1 species